rnacentral:rRNA from 1 species
CGGAUUGCAGGCUGCAACCCGCCUGUAUGAAGUUGGAAUCGCUAGUAAUCGCGGAUCAGCAUGCCGCGGUGAAUACGUUCCCGGGCCUUGUACACACCGCCCGUCACACCAUGAGAGUCGGGAACACCCGAAGUCCGUAGUCUAACCGCAAGGGGACGCGGCCGAAGGUGGGUUCGAUAAUUGGGGUGAAGUCGUAACAAGGUAUC